rnacentral:rRNA from 1 species
GUCUGUGGCCUUGCCACCCUGAACAAGCCCGAUCCUGUCUGAUCGCGGAAGCAGGGUCAAGCCUGGUUAAUACUUCGAUGGGAGACCACCUAAGAAGAUCAGGUGCUGUAGGCA